rnacentral:lncRNA from 1 species
UGAACUGGGACACGUGGGCCCGUUUUCCUCAAACUCAUCCACCAUGGGAAGCCCCACAGUUGGGUGUCAGAAGUUGUCUCAAUGGGAGACAGCCGUUGAGCCAUUUCAGAAAGGAAGCAGCUCAACAGAAGGCACUGUACUCCUCCCCAGUUGCCCUCACAUCCUCCUGCCAGUACAAAUAUCUAAGAUGAAGGAACUUGGCCUGAUAGUGAUCUUGGGUUGGGAAGCUCUUUGGAAGAGCCCAGAAAGGAGAAACUUUAGAGGAAACCUUUUCUCUUUCUACUCUGAUUUCACAUUCGCUCUUGCAUAGCUGCCUGCGUGUGCCCCCAUGAUCUCAGAAAAACCACAGGGAUGAUAGGAAUGCUGCAGCCAGCUUCUAACCCUGGGGGCACCCCUCCACCGAUCACUCCAGCUAGUUCAGAGUCUAAACACAGGCAUGCUUCCUCAGCUGAGGGGAGGGAGGAGCCUUGUGCUUAGAAGAGGAAUCCGAGGACCAAGGCAGCUUAGGGAAGGGAAGGGGGUCUGUGGAAAGAUCCUGUGUUGGGAGCUGAAGAGAAUCAGUGGAUAGUACUCACAGUGCAGUCUUGUGUUCUUUCUCCAGACUCUAUAGCUGCAACCAGAGUCCAGGAUCUGUCAGACAUGGUGGAAAUACUGAUCUGAAGGAAGGAGGCCUUGGGGACCCUGAAGCCUGGCUCCCCCAUGGCAUUCCAGCAAUUGUCUUCAAAUGCUGCACCUCACUUCCUCCAACCAGCAAUGGUUUGGUGCAGGAGCUCAGAGAGGAGCACUCCAGGG